UACGUAGGGGGCCAGCGUUGUCCGGAUUUAUUGGGCGUAAAGAGCGUGUAGGCGGCCAGGUAGGUCUGGUGUGAAAACUCGAGGCUCAACCUCGAGAUGUCAUCGGAAACCAUCUGGCUAGAGUCCGGAAGAGGAGAGUGGAAUUCCUGGUGUAGCGGUGAAAUGCGCAGAUAUCAGGAAGAACACCUAUGGCGAAGGCAGCUCUCUGGGACGGUACUGACGCUGAGACGCGAAAGCGUGGGUAGCAAACAGG
rnacentral:rRNA from 1 species